GAUGAACGCUGGCGGCGUGCUUAACACAUGCAAGUCGAACGGUGAAAGAGGAGCUUGCUCCUCUGGAUCAGUGGCGAACGGGUGAGUAACACGUGAGUAACCUGCCCUUGACUCUGGGAUAAGCGUUGGAAACGACGUCUAAUACCGGAUACGACCUUCGGAGGCAUCUCCUGGGGUGGGAAAGAAUUCGGUCAAGGAUG
rnacentral:rRNA from 1 species